rnacentral:rRNA from 1 species
AUGAACGCUAGCUACAGGCUUAACACAUGCAAGUCGAGGGGCAGCAUGGUCUUAGCUUGCUAAGGCCGAUGGCGACCGGCGCACGGGUGAGUAACACGUAUCCAACCUGCCGUCUACUCUUGGACAGCCUUCUGAAAGGAAGAUUAAUACAAGAUGGCAUCAUGAGUCCGCAUGUUCACAUGAUUAAAGGUAUUCCGGUAGACGAUGGGGAUGCGUUCCAUUAGAUAGUAGGCGGGGUAACGGCCCACCUAGUCUUCGAUGGAUAGGGGUUCUGAGAGGAAGGUCCCCCACAUUGGAACUGAGACACGGUCCAAACUCCUACGGGAGGCAGCAGUGAGGAAUAUUGGUCAAUGGGCGAGAGCCUGAACCAGCCAAGUAGCGUGAAGGAUGACUGCCCUAUGGGUUGUAAACUUCUUUUAUAAAGGAAUAAAGUCGGGUAUGGAUACCCGUUUGCAUGUACUUUAUGAAUAAGGAUCGGCUAACUCCGUGCCAGCAGCCGCGGUAAUACGGAGGAUCCGAGCGUUAUCCGGAUUUAUUGGGUUUAAAGGGAGCGUAGAUGGAUGUUUAAGUCAGUUGUGAAAGUUUGCGGCUCAACCGUAAAAUUGCAGUUGAUACUGGAUAUCUUGAGUGCAGUUGAGGCAGGCGGAAUUCGUGGUGUAGCGGUGAAAUGCUUAGAUAUCACGAAGAACUCCGAUUGCGAAGGCAGCCUGCUAAGCUGCAACUGACAUUGAGGCUCGAAAGUGUGGGUAUCAAACAGGAUUAGAUACCCUGGUAGUCCACACGGUAAACGAUGAAUACUCGCUGUUUGCGAUAUACAGCAAGCGGCCAAGCGAAAGCGUUAAGUAUUCCACCUGGGGAGUACGCCGGCAACGGUGAAACUCAAAGGAAUUGACGGGGGCCCGCACAAGCGGUGGAGUAUGUGGUUUAAUUCGACGCAACGCGAAGAACCUUACCAAGGCUUGACAUCCCUUGACAGACAUAGAAAUAUGUAAUCUCUUCGGAGCAAGGAGACAGGUGGUGCAUGGUUGUCGUCAGCUCGUGCCGUGAGGUGUCGGCUUAAGUGCCAUAACGAGCGCAACCCUUGUUGUCAGUUACUAACAGGUUCCGCUGAGGACUCUGACAAGACUGCCAUCGUAAGAUGUGAGGAAGGUGGGGAUGACGUCAAAUCAGCACGGCCCUUACGUCCGGGGCUACACACGUGUUACAAUGGGGGGUACAGAGGGCCGCUACCACGCGAGUGGAUGCCAAUCCCCAAAACCUCUCUCAGUUCGGACUGGAGUCUGCAACCCGACUCCACGAAGCUGGAUUCGCUAGUAAUCGCGCAUCAGCCACGGCGCGGUGAAUACGUUCCCGGGCCUUGUACACACCGCCCGUCAAGCCAUGGGAGCCGGGGGUACCUGAAGUGCGUAACCGCGAGGAGCGCCCUAGGGUAAAACUGGUGACUGGGGCU